AGCUUGCCCAGCCCUUGAGUCUCGGAGAAUGCAGCCCUUGCUGCCCUUUCUGCCUGAGCACUCACAGCUCAUUAAGAAGUGGAAGCACACGUCUGCAAUCACUGUGUAAUUACCUUGCUUCCUAAUUGGUAGUAGACAAGGUCAGCGGUCCUAACUGCAGCAGUGGACACCCUGCCAUCAGAAUCUGCUGGGGAGCUUUUCCAGAGUGUAGGUGUCAGCUCCUCGCUGGCCUACUGGAUCAGAACCCAAAACCAAAAGCCCUGCCUCAGCAAGCAAGUUCAAAGUCAUUGGCCCAAAGGAAAAACUCCAAGUCCUUUGUCGGUCAUUCAGGGUGGCCAUGAGGGCUGACUGAGGAACAGGCUGUGCACACGCAGCUCAGGACCUUGUGAGAGCAUCAGGCCUGCCGACAACCCCAUGGUACGACAAGAAAAUGGCUGUGCUGGAGCCCUGGAUGCUGGAAAUCUCAGAUGAAGGUGCCGGCAGGGCCCUGCCCCCUCUGAAGGCUCUCGGGGAAGCUUCUUUGCCUCUUCCAGCUCCUGGUGGCUCCAUGCACUGCUGGGCUCGUGGCUGCCUCCCUCUGGUCUCUGCCCCGGUCUGCAUGUGGCCUUCCCUGAGUGUUGCUGUGUCCUUGCUGCUGCUUAGAAGCACACCAGCCAUUGGAUUAGGACCCACUCUCAUCCAGCAUGGCCUCAUCUUAACUCAUUACGUCUACAAAAUCUCCAUUUCCAAAUAAGGUCCCAUUCUGGGGUCCCGAGUGGAAUGGGGGGGACACCAUCAACCCAUCCUAAGGCCUUCUUGGGCAGCCUCAGGGGGAAGCCGGACCAGCCUUAAGUGAAAGUGGAGGGUUCCAAGGAUCCUACAAAGGGGCCCUGACCCAGUCUGUGGGCAGCAAGGGACAGAGUGGACGAUGCACAGGACUCACCCCCACCACCAGAGGUCUGUGUGCGGAGAUGACAGAGGGCAGCAUCCCUCCCACUGCCCGUCACCCACGGAGCAUGGAAAAUCCCAGUCAAGGCAGCAGCCAGGGCCGUGAAAUCGA
rnacentral:lncRNA from 1 species